GCACUGAGGGUUCAGUGGUAGAAUUCUCACCUUCCAUGUAGGAGACCCAAGUCUGAUUCCUGGCCAAUGCA
rnacentral:tRNA from 1 species